GUCGUUUUGAGUGAAGGUCGAAAGAAAAGUUAAGUGUAUAUAUAUAAACAAAACAUUGUACUGAACACGACGUUGGCACCUGUCAGGCAAAUAGCUGUUUUGGGUGAAGGUCGAAGGAAAGGUCAAGAAUCAUGUGAAUAGGUAUUGCAAGGAAGAUAAAAAGACAAUAGAAGGGUGAAACUUGGAUUGACUGAUUUGAGGUGAAUUGAGAAGAAAGAAUGCGUGUUCUGUGUAUGACCUGAAUUGAAGGGGGACAGCUUUAAAGGUACGUGGAUAUCCCAACAGACUCACGCCUUAAGUAGCAUUGAUUUCGGGUUGUCUCUCUGCCCCUCUGUGCACAGAGACAUACUUCCUCCCUCUACCAUUAGAUGCUAAAUGCCCUCUCUAUAUUUAUUGGACAGUGCCAACACUAUGACCUUCACCCCAUUCCCCCAAAAAAUCCCUUCUCUCCAAGAACGUAACUUUCUGAAUCGACAAUUUCUCUCUCUCUCUCUCUCUCUCUCUCUCUAAAUGAAAUCUUUCUGCCUUGACUAUUCCUUUUAUUAUUUCUUGGAGUUUGGCCAUGCACAGUUUCCUACAAGGUUUGGGAGUGGGGCGGGUGGGGUUGGAAAACAACGUAUCAACAACAUUUCUUACACCUUGUCUUUUUUCUUUCUUAAUUAUUACUACAUGCCAAUUUGUCUCCCUCGUGCACCGACUGUGCCCGUUAAAUAUUUAAUUUCGCACACAGUAUAACUAUUUGUUUGCACAGUGUUAAUUUACAGGGUAACAGAAAUUUUCAUGUUUGAGUUUGAAUUCGAGGUUAGUACAACUUUUACUAUUUGGUCAAGUUGUAACAAUCGAGAAAAAUUUUGCAUUUCGAUUUUAAAAAAAAAAUUUGUAGAAAUUGAAAAAUAAUUUGAAUUAUAUUACUAAGUCGUUACGACAUUUUCUAAGAGUCCAAAUUAGAGUUUUGAUCAUGAUAAUAAAGUUGCACGCACUUAUCUUAAAAUGUUUGUAAGGUGUCGAAUCUUUACAAAUUUUUAUUUUGAUCUGAUUACGUUAUUUUUGAAGUCACAUUUUAUUUAAUUGCACCUAUAUUAAGUCCUUGAAAUUUAAAAUUCGAUACACUUCCUGAAUUGUGCCAAAUAAUCCCACAUUCAACCACGUUAUCUUGAUUUCUUCUAACACCUAUCAACCCAGAAUCUGAUUUUCUCUCCACUAAGGCACCCCACUUAAAUAUUUUACCGUCUACCCAUUUUACCAUUUUAAUUCCAUUUUGGUAAACUGACAGAAACCGUCCCUUUUUUCAUUUCAAUUGAAAAUGUUAUCUUCUGCUGCUCGUGUCGCAUGUUUUCUCUCACACAUCACAACUAUAAACAUAUAAAUUUCACUUACCCUUUUUUCAUAGUCUAAACGCAACUUUGAGUCUGAAAAUUAUCUAAAGGAUAGGCUAGUAGCACGCUGCAUUUUGUUACAAAAUGGUCACAAAAAGGGUACUCGAACUCCAAACAUUUGAGGUACGGUAUUUUCGGCACUUUUGUACGUGAAGUAAAAGUUAUUUAUUUUUAAUUUGCAUUAAAUGUAUUAUUGUGUUACUCAUAAGAAAAAGGAAGCACCCUUUGCUUGUUCGAAUAAGAUAUGAAGAGGAUGAUUUUUGGUACUUGAAAAGGGUUAUCAAAAUCUAAGAGAAAGUGAACUGACAGAUCAUUGGUUCACUUUGCAAAAUUGAUGGUGAUACAAAUAACCAAAAUUUGCAUUUUUGAAAAAUAUAUAUAAUUUUUUUUUCCGACUGAAUACUUCCGACUGAAUAUUACUUGUGGUACUCAUCCCCUACAAAAAUUUUACAGGUUAACUUGAGGCAUGGCAUAGUGGCAAGUGCUAGGCGAUUUGAAAUAUGCUCUUUAUAGUAAAAUUAUCAGUUAUGUAAAUCUUUUAUGAACACUCAGAUGACGCUUUUAAAAGUGUUUAAAUGUCCAUUUCAUCUAGUUUUUAUACAUUUCACAUCAGCUAUAACUUAGAAAUGUUGGAUAAACUAUGCAUAAAGUCUAAUAGUUGCGGAAUUGAAAUUCCAAUUUCUAUCCUCCUAUUUAAAAAUAGCGUAACUCCAGCUACAUUGCAUGUUUUAGUGUUUGAAAGGGAGUCUUCUAAUUGUGGCCUUUGGAAUUACCUUAAAAUAUUACCUAGAGAAGAAGUUAUGUCUGUUUUCGUAGAGUGCGGCCAGUCAAUUUCGAAAAACUAUUGAGAGCCAAUUUUUUAUAUGUUGUGCGUAAAUGAAUGUUAUAAUCUUUGUUAAAAUUUCAUAAAUUUUAGUCAACAUUUGCUAGGCCGAGCAUAUCUUCUUCUUUUUUCUGCAUCUAAGCAAUCAGUGUUUGCUAAAUUUCCUCCAAAUGCUUUCCAAAAUUAAAUCAUACCAUAUUUGUCUAAGUUUAUAUGGUCAAAUAUUAAGAUCUUCCAUUAUAUACUUUUUUUAUUAUUUCAAAAUCAAAUUUUUUUUAUUUACAAUUUAUUUCGGUUAACAUUAUAGAGCUCAAACUAAGAUUUUUUUAAUGCAUCAAGUACAAAGCAUUUAGGAGAGCACAAUUUAUUUUCUUUAGACUUGCAUAAGAAAUCAUAUCCUAGAUGUAUCGCGUUACAUAUUAAGUUGAUCAAAUGUUUUAAAGAGGAUCCUAAGCAUUGUGCAUGCCAUUGCCACGCUAUGCCAAUUUUAAGGUAAAGAAAGUUUAUAAAUAUGGUUGUAUAUAUGUAACGAGUAUGAGAAAGUUUAUUCUAUAUACAACAAUUGAAAAAUAUGUAUGAAUAUCAAUAUAUGUUUGAGUAUUUUCUUUGUGGAUAAUCAUUACUGUACCAAGUAUUUUGAUGUGUCCAAACUUAAAUAUUUAUUUAAGUCCUCAAAAAUUAACUAAAACUUAUUAGAUACCUACUAAUUGAACUUUAAAUAAUUGGUAUGAGAUAGAUGGUACGGACUAAGAAGAAUUGUAGGAAGACGAGUUCAUUGAUGCCUCAUCAACAUGAGAUCGUAAGGCGGUAUGAAGAGUAUCGGUGGAACCCAGCACACAAUAUGGGCCAGCACAUUUGGGAGAUGUUAGUAAGGUGGAAGGAGGUAAGGCAACUAGGCUAUAUGAUCACUGGUCGUCGGGCGACCCGCCUCCUUAUUGACACCUUGCCAGAAGAAUGGUUGGAGAUGGCCGAAUUGAUUUAUGAUUAUUUGUGGGAAGUUGCUGUGCCUACAUUACCUCGAGAGAUUGACUAUGAGGCUUUUUGCGCAGAGCUGAUAGAGCAAUGGGAGCAAGCUCGACUUGCGAUCCCCGAGCACGAUAGUAUACCUACUGAGAUAUAUAUUCAUGAAGAUGCACCUCCACCUAUUUCAGACGAUGAGGGAUAACCUUCCAAGAAAUGUAGGGUUCAUGGAGGCUGGAUUAGUGAUAAUGAUGACAAUGAUGAAUAGUGUUGUGGAAUUUUUUAUUAGGUUUAGUUGUUUUCAAUAUCAAGUAUAUUCUUUUCGCUUUUCUAUUGAUUGGCGUCAGACCCUCUUUUAUUAUUUUAUAUUCCUUUUGAAGAAUUCUUUUAAGAUAAUAAUAAAAGAUUUUGAGCUGUAAAUUGUUUCCCUAUUUUGUGAAAAGUAUUGUUGACUCCUCUAGAUAAGAUUACAAUUAUUUAUGUUUAUAGGAAUAUGACGCAUGCGGGGACAAUUAGUGAGUUAAGGUGGGAGAUUGAUGAGUUAAAGCAAGCUUUGGCUGCUUAGGCUCUACCUCCAGCACAUCAGUCUCCACAGACCCUUAGGCAAUGUCAGUCUCACCAACAUGCUUACCUACACUGCUUAGUCCAAUCGUAGAACAAUUUCAAUGAUAUUGAUCUUCCACUUUAGAUGGCAUAAAAG
rnacentral:lncRNA from 1 species